rnacentral:rRNA from 1 species
UGGGGAAUUUUGGACAAUGGGCGAAAGCCUGAUCCAGCAAUGCCGCGUGUGUGAAGAAGGCCUUCGGGUUGUAAAGCACUUUUGUCCGGAAAGAAAUCCUUGGCUCUAAUACAGUCGGGGGAUGACGGUACCGGAAGAAUAAGCACCGGCUAACUACGUGCCAGCAGCCGCGGUAAUACGUAGGGUGCAAGCGUUAAUCGGAAUUACUGGGCGUAAAGCGUGCGCAGGCGGUUUGCUAAGACCGAUGUGAAAUCCCCGGGCUCAACCUGGGAACUGCAUUGGUGACUGGCAGGCUAGAGUAUGGCAGAGGGGGGUAGAAUUCCACGUGUAGCAGUGAAAUGCGUAGAGAUGUGGAGGAAUACCGAUGGCGAAGGCAGCCCCCUGGGCCAAUACUGACGCUCAUGCACGAAAGCGUGGGGAGCAAACAGGAUUAGAUACCCUGGUAGUCCACGCCCUAAACGAUGUCAACUAGUUGUUGGGGAUUCAUUUCCUUAGUAGCGUAGCUAACGCGUGAAGUUGACCGCCUGGGGAGUACGGUCGCAAGAUUAAAACUCAAAGGAAUUGACGGGGUCAU